rnacentral:lncRNA from 1 species
UUGUUUUUUUUUUUUUUUUUUUUAAAGAAUGUAGAACUUACUCUAGAAUACAAUAAAAAGGUAUUAGGCACUUGCUUUUGGUUUCAUAGUAUAUCCUUGUUGACAUCUAUUCUAAAGUCUGAAUUCCUGAACUCAUGCACACAAAGUAUAUUCACUGUUCAAAAGAGAAUUUCAAUCUUUCCUAAACGUGCAAAAUUAAGCCUUAAGUAAACCUGUGAUACACAAGGUUGAAUUUCAAAUGUGUCCCCUAAAAGACUUUAUUUCAGAUGAGAACGGAGCCCUUUGCCAAUCCUGGGAGUGAACAGACACGGUCUUUACCUACUUUCAUAAGAUAAGGAGACAGGAGAAACACCCACUUAAGAGAACAAUGAUGGGGGGCUAGAUUGUGUUCUGUCAACUUUGAAGAGGAAGAAAACCUCACUCUUCUCCCCCAAUGCUCCCUUUAGAGAGAGUUCACUGCAGCUCUUAAAGAGCAGAAAACUGAACAGGAUUAGUAUUCUAACACAGUCAAGAAAACAAGUGACUGGGGAACCGUGAAUUUUGGGU